GUGUUCCCUUCAGCAGCACAUACACUAAAACUGGAAUGAUACAGAGAAGAUUAGUGUGGCCCCUGCACAAGGAUGACAUGCAAAUUUGCGAAGCGUUCCGUAUUUUC